GUGGGGGACAACCGUUGGAGANGACGGCAUAAUACCGCAUACGCUCUACGGAGGAAAGGGGGCUUCGGCUCUCGCUAUCGGAUGUGCCUGCGUGAGAUUAGCUAGUUGGUGGGGUAAAAGCCUACCAAGGCGACGAUCUCUAGCUGGUCUGAGAGGAUGAUCANCCNCACUGGGACUGAGACACGGCCCANACUCCUACGGGAGGCAGCAGUGGGGAAUAU
rnacentral:rRNA from 1 species